UGAAUGGUCCAUUUUCCAUUUUCAUGCCCCACCCUUUCUCAAAGCUAAAGGAAAUCUCCUUUUGUUGACAAGGGCCGUCUACAGAUGUGGGUGGACAUGUUUCCCAAAGACACACCUCAGCUUGGACCUCCUGUUGACAUUUCACCAAGGAAACCCAAAGGAUAUGAGCUGAGGGUGACCAUCUGGAAUACCGAAGAUGUCAUUUUAGAAGAUGAGAAUAUCUUUACGGGUCAAAAAUCAAGUGAUAUUUAUGUCAAAGGGUAAGGUCCCCCACAAGUUCCAUCUGUCUUUUCUCCAUCUCCCCUUUUCAGUCUCUAGCCAGUCUAUGCCUCAUGGGAACUGCUACCCAC
rnacentral:lncRNA from 1 species